rnacentral:rRNA from 1 species
UGAUGACGAGACGCUAAGGCGUUGAAGUGGUGUAUGUCAGACUUCCAAGAAAAGCUCGCAAUGUCAUAGAUAAAAAAUGCCUGUACCAUAACCGACACAGGUGGGUAGGUAGAGUAUACUAAGGGGCGCGAGAUAACUCUCUCUAAGGAACUCGGCAAAAUGACUCCGUAACUUCGGGAGAAGGAGUGCCUUAUUUAUAAGGUUGCAAUAACAAGAUCCAAGCAACUGUUUAUCAAAAACACAGGUCUCCGCUAAGUCGUAAGACGAUGUAUGGGGGCUGACGCCUGCCCAGUGCCAGAAGGUUAAAGAAGUUGGUUAGUGUAAGCGAAGCUGAUAACUGAAGCCCUGGUGAACGGCGGCCGUAACAAUAACGGUCCUAAGGUAGCGAAAUUCCUUGUCGGGUAAGUUCCGACCCGCACGAAAGGCGUAAUAAUUUGGAUACUGUCUCGGAGAGAGGCUCGGUGAAAUAGACUUGUCUGUGAAGAUGCGGACUACCUGCACCAGGACAGAAAGACCCUAUGAAGCUUUACUGUAACUUGAAAUUGGAAUUGGACUUUGCUUGCGCAGUAUAGGUGGGAAGCGUUGAAGAUACUCUUGCGGGACUAUUGGAGCUAUCAGUGAGAUACCACUCUUGUAAUGUUGGAUUUCUAACUUUGAACCAUAAUCUGGCCAAAGAACAGUUUCAGGCGGGCAGUUUGACUGGGGCGGUCGCCUCCUAAAUGGUAACGGAGGCGUACAAAGGUUUCCUCUGAACGGAUAGAAAUCGUAUCUAGAGUGUAAAGGCAUAAGGAAGCUUGACUGUGAGACCUACAAGUCGAGCAGGGACGAAAGUCGGUCUUAGUGAUCUGACGGUACUGAGUGGAAAGGCCGUCACUCAACGGAUAAAAGUUACUCUAGGGAUAACAGGCUGAUCUCCCCCAAGAGUUCACAUCGACGGGGAGGCUUGGCACCUCGAUGUCGGCUCAUCGCAUCCUGGGGCGGUAGUACGUCCCAAGGGUUGGGCUGUUCGCCCAUGAAAGCGGUACGCGAGCUGGGUUCAGAACGUCGUGAGACAGUUCGGUCCAUAUCCGGUGUUGGCGUUAGAAUAUUGAGAGGAGCCUUCUUUAGUACGAGAGGACCGAGAAGGACACACCGCUGGUGUACCAGUUAUCGUGCCAACGGUAAACGCUGGGUAGCUAUGUGUGGAGAGGAUAACCGCUGAAAGCAUCUAAGUGGGAAGCCCACCUCAAGAUGAGUAUUCUC